UGGGGAAUUUUGGACAAUGGGCGCAAGCCUGAUCCAGCCAUGCCGCGUGCGGGAAGAAGGCCUUCGGGUUGUAAACCGCUUUUGUCAGGGAAGAAAUCUUCUGAGUUAAUACCUCGGGAGGAUGACGGUACCUGAAGAAUAAGCACCGGCUAACUACGUGCCAGCAGCCGCGGUAAUACGUAGGGUGCAAGCGUUAAUCGGAAUUACUGGGCGUAAAGCGUGCGCAGGCGGUUUUGUAAGACAGAGGUGAAAUCCCCGGGCUCAACCUGGGAACUGCCUUUGUGACUGCAAGGCUUGAGUGCGGCAGAGGGGGAUGGAAUUCCGCGUGUAGCAGUGAAAUGCGUAGAUAUGCGGAGGAACACCGAUGGCGAAGGCAAUCCCCUGGGCCUGCACUGACGCUCAUGCACGAAAGCGUGGGGAGCAAAACAGGAUUAGAUACCCUGGUAGUCCACGCCCUAAACGAUGUCAACUGGUUGUUGGGAAGAUUCCUUCUCAGUAACGUAGCUAACGCGUGAAGUUGACCGCCUGGGGAGUACGGCCGCAAGGUUG
rnacentral:rRNA from 1 species